UACGUAGGGAGCAAGCGUUGUCCGGAAUUAUUGGGCGUAAAGAGCGUGUAGGCGGCCCGAUUAGUCCGCUGUGAAAGUCCAGGGCUCAACCCUGGAAUGCCGGUGGAUACUGUCGGGCUAGAGUCCGGAAGGGGCGAGUGGAAUUCCUGGUGUAGCGGUGAAAUGCGCAGAUAUCAGGAGGAACACCAAUGGCGAAGGCAGCUCGCUGGGACGUGACUGACGCUGAGACGCGAAAGCGUGGGGAGCGAACAGG
rnacentral:rRNA from 1 species